GGGCCUAUAGCUCAGCUGGGAGAGCGUACGGUUCGCAUCCGUAAGGUCGUCGGUUCGAUCCCGAUUAGGUCCA
rfam:Oscillibacter sp. KLE 1745 genomic scaffold Scaffold306, whole genome shotgun sequence.